CACGUAGGGCGCGAGCGUUGUCCGGAAUUAUUGGGCGUAAAGAGCUCGUAGGCGGCCUGUUGCGUCCGCUGUGAAAGCCCGGGGCUUAACCCCGGGUCGGCAGUGGAUACGGGCAGGCUAGAGGUAGGUAGGGGAGAAUGGAAUUCCCGGUGUAGCGGUGAAAUGCGCAGAUAUCGGGAGGAACACCGGUGGCGAAGGCGGUUCUCUGGGCCUUACCUGACGCUGAGGAGCGAAAGCGUGGGGAGAGAACAGG
rnacentral:rRNA from 1 species